CCCGUCAAUUAUUAAUUGGAAAGAGUGUCGUGAUAUCAUCAACGACUCACUCCGUACUUACUGUUUGAAAUGGAUAAAACGGGAAAAAGCUGACAAAAAAUCUUUGGACUCUUUUUUAAUUCAGUAAUGAACAUAGUUGAUAUACGUAUUCAACAUUUUAAAGAACAUUUUACUCUUAACAAUAACCACAAUAAACCUAGUUCUCGUAUCAAACAUAAACUAAAAGAACUAGCUAUAUAUAUAGCCAAGGAAUUUGUUUUUGUCCCGGUCGAUAAAGCUGCUAACAAUAUUAUUAUUGUUUGACGUAAAUUUUACAUUGAGGUUCUACAAAAAGAAAUCACCAAUUCACCAACAUUCCAACUGACUCCAUUUUCAGAAAACGACAUCUGUAACAAA
rnacentral:lncRNA from 1 species